AGCAUCAUCCAGACAAAUUCCAUAUGGGGUAGCACAGAAUGAGGUAAAGGAAUGGCAAGAUGCAUGGGAUGAAAAGGAAAAUAAGGAUUCUGAGAAGCAAGGACUUGAUCAACAUGAUUCAUUUUGGAGCAAGCUAAAGACGAGGCUGCUAGGAAG